CUCCUACGGGGGGCAGCAGUGAGGAAUAUUGGUCAAUGGACGAGAGUCUGAACCAGCCAAGUAGCGUGAAGGAUGACUGCCCUAUGGGUUGUAAACCUCUUUUGUCGGGGAGCAAAGAGAGUCACGUGUGGCUCAUUGAGAGUACCCGAAGAAAAAGCAUCGGCUAACUCCGUGCCAGCAGCCGCGGUAAUACGGAGGAUGCGAGCGUUAUCCGGAUUUAUUGGGAUUAAAGGGUGCGCAGGCGGAGGUGCAAGUCAGUGGUCAAAUUGCGGGGCUCAACCCCGUACUGCCGUUGAAACUGCAUC
rnacentral:rRNA from 1 species